UUGGGGGGCGGGGGAGACUGUAGGGUCACCAGCAAGGGAAGCUGGGGAGAAAGAAAGUACACCACAGGGACACCAAGGCACAAUGAAGAGGAAAGUGGUCACUAUGCCAAGAGAUCGGGACAGACAUGAGAGGACAAAUCUGUGUAUCAUAUGCAGGGUCUGAGGCAGAGAAUGGGAAUGCGAAUCUCUGUGUUGGGUGUUCCCUGUGACCACACACAAUGAGCCCUGAAGUUGACGUCAAGAGGCAGACCCCUUGAGCGUAGAGAACUAGAGAAAAGGAACUUAAGGGUCGGGAUGGCUGAGCAGGGGAACUGUGGAGAGGGAGCCUGUCGGGGGAGAAAGGAGUGUGGAGUGCGGGUGUGGGUAGGCGUGGGGUGAUCGUUUGAGUCCGUGUGUGGGUAAGACCUUAUGAGUAGCAGUGUGGAAACAUCAAACAGCUAUUAUUUUUUUGACAAGGAAAAAAAAUGUGUAUCCCAGGCUGGCCUCGAACUCCUGAUCCUCCUGCCUCUGCCUCCUUCAGCAAAUCCUACUGGCCUGCGCCACCAGUACCGGCGGCUGCCGGGGCUGUUCUGAAGAUACUUCACUAUGACUUUGAUGGCGUCACUAGCCCUGCCCACGGAGGAGAAGCCUUGGCUGCAGCACUAAGCCUCACCUUCCUUCAACCCAAACCCGAGUACUACUCAGGCCUCACGCACACUCCCGACCUCACGUCCACCUCCCCUUUCCCUAAGGAAUCACAGCCUUACAAGCCCCGAAGGCGCUUCUCGAUCCUCCGUCCCCUGCCGGUCAUUCCGGGAAACACACUCCCGUCAGGCAGCUCCUGAGCCUAGUGGCCCCCGCUCUGCGAUCAGUCUCAACUGUGACUACUGUAAAACAUGUUCAAGAUUGAUGCAGCCUCUUUUGCCUAUUUCGUGUCUGUUGACAGUGCUUUCGAUGUCACAACCAAGAAGUCAUCAAAUACAAUGUCAUAAGUAUUCUCCUCUAUAUUUUCCUCUAGAAAUUUUAGAAUGUUAGGGGUUUGUUUAUCUCUUUAACACAUUCUGAUUUAAUUUUUGUACAGGGCAGUAAGACCUAAACCGGUCAUCCAGUUUUCCCAUCAUUCGCCCAUCACUCAAUAGACUGUCGUCAUCGUCUUCCCCCACGGCCCCGCCCCCCCAUGGUGUGGUUUGCCACCAUGCCUGCUUGCAGACUCUGCCCUGCUAUAAUGGAUUCUAAUCUUUUGGAAGUAUAAGUCAAAAUUAACCCUAUCUUUUAUAGAUGUGAUGUUUCAUCCCAGCAACAGAAAAGUAAGUGAUAUAGUGGACAAUUUCUGCGUUGGAAUUUUACAGUCUAAAAUGUUAACUUAUUUUGUUGGCUGUCAAGAGUUUGUGUACGACUCACCCCCCUCCCUACAUACACACACUGGGAAAAGGGAAGGAGGGAGGGAGAGAGGAAGGGAGGGAGGGGAGAGAGAGAGACAGAGAGACAGAGAGACAGAGAGCAUGAAUUUCAUCCCUGGGACUUCUGCUAAAUGUCCUGAACUCCACAUGUAUGUCAUGGCAUGUGCACAGGUACACACAUGAACACACACACAAAAUACAUAAAUGUGUACAUUUAUAUUUUUCAAAACCAACGCUAAGAAGUGUACCUAAAUGCUUUUACCUCCCUUCUAGCUCACCACCCACCAGAGGUGGUGGAAAGGAAAGGUUAAUAGACAAAGGAGGAUGGGGACCUGUUUAAGACUAGUUCUUUGGGGGAGAAUCAAUCUGCCUUGUCAGGAAAUCAGCAGUUCAGUUCACACAAACCAGCAGUAGCCACUGAAUCCACUCACAAACACCAUUCGCGCAUCUGCAACGACAGUUCAAUCCAGAAGACAAUGCAAGGUUCUGAGCAGAGAGUGGCAAGGAGAACCAAUGCCACACAGCGUCUCCCACGGUCUGUUGGGUUUUAUUUAUACCCUUUCCAAACACCACGUGUUCUCUCAGGCGUCCAAACAUCACAUGCGGUUUUUUUCCAGAAAAGCACCAUGUGUCUAUUCUCAGCUAAACAUCCUCCCACGUGUUUGCUUCAGCAAAAACAUCCUCUCAUUAAGACAGUUUCCAGAAAAACACCACAUAACACAACGGAGUCUCCAAAGGAACCAGAAACUUCCAUUACAAACAUAAUUUUAAAGAGCAUGUUCCCUGCUAACAUGGUUUGAUGUCUUUAACACAGAUGUCUUUGUUUCUUACCCCUUUUCUGUGCCUCCAGUCCUACGCUGAACAACAGUGUGUUUAUUGGCCAGCAGGGGUCAGCACUUGCCCUGAGUUUUACUCCCCUACCCACCAUGAGUAAGCUGUUAGCCAUUGACUUUUUUAUAAAUGUUCUUCACCAUGUUAAUGCAGGGCAUUCUACCCCUAGUUUGUUAAAUGCCUCACCAUAAAGGGGUGUGUAACCUUGUCAAAUGCUGUUUCUGUGUUCUCUGAGAUGACCCUGUGACUUUUGUCUUCCCUCUGUCAACACCGUGCACUGGGAUUUUCAUGUGCUAAAGUGUCGUUGUAUCCCACAGGGCUGAAAUCAGCUUUCUUGUCUGUCAGAAGGUUUAGUAAGCUGAGUCAAAGAAAUGUGGAAGGCCAACAGGAGGUCAUACACGAAGGACAUGGAUGAGACGAGACAAGAAGCUCUAUCAGAAGGGCAUGGAUGAGAAGAGACUCUGAAAGACCCCCGAGUGGGGAGACCCUCACUCAAGUCUCGGGAUGACAUGACCCCCCAAGAACUCACGGGGUCUGAAUUUUCCUGGUCCUUCAACUCUAUCGGAAGAUACGAACGCAGCUGUCCUGAAGCACUGUCCCACUCUGCACUCUGAGCUCCUGGACUUCCGAUCUGAUAUGUCUCCCAGGUGUGGCAAGCAUGUGGAUUCUCCUGGUCUUUUCGUGCCAUUUGGUAGUGUUCCCAUGAAGCCUUUAUUUUCACAGGGAUGACCUCUCCUACAAGGGGAGAAAACCUGCUUGUCAUGGGUUGAAAAUGUUGCUUUUUUUCUUCUCCAUGUGUAAGCAUUGCUCUAUGCAGAGCACAUUAAAUAGUCACGGGUCUAUCUCCGUGACGUUGACAUUUGGGUACGACAACUACAACAAACAACUAAAAGGCAUGAAGACACUACUAUAUAAAAUGGUUGAGAAAUACUGCUUUAAUAUUUCAGAAAAUGGAGUUUUUCUUUUCCUUUUAAAGAUUGUAUUUUGUAAUACUGGGAAUAUGGAUGGGAAUAGUUCUUGGGGCUGCAUGCAUGUAAGGAGAGAAACACUGACUUUAAACCCUUUACCGGAAAGUAGGUUUCCUUUUGUUUCUUUCAUGGGACUUUUUACUUUUAUAUAUUUCCUUAUUAUUUAUUGUCAGACCGACCAACAGAUAAUGUGAACUGUAUCAGGGCCAGGAUCUUUGCCUGCUCGUUACAAUGAUGUAUCCCAUGUCCAAAUAAAUAAAUAAAUAAAUAAAUAAAUAAAUAAAUAAAUAAAUCAUCAUAA